GAAUCUUGCGCAAUGGGCGAAAGCCCGACGCAGCCAUGCCGCGUGAAUGAUGAAGGUCUUAGGAUUGUAAAAUUCUUUCACCGGGGACGAUAAUGACGGUACCCGGAGAAGAAGCACCGGCUAACUGUGUGUCAGCAGCCGCGGUAAUCCGAAGGGGGCUAGCGUUGCUCGGAAUUAAUGGGCUUAAAGGGCGCGUAGGCGGAUCGUUAAGUCAGAGGUGAAAUCCCAGGGCUCAACCCUUGAACUGCCUUUGAUACUGGCGAUCUUGAGUAUGAGAGAGGUAUGUGGAACUCCGAGUGUAGAGGUGAAAUUCGUAGAUAUUCGGAAGAACACCAGUGGCGAAGGCGACAUACUGGCUCAUUACUGACGCUGAGGCGCGAAAGCGUGGGGAGCAAACA
rnacentral:rRNA from 1 species